GAUGAACGCUGGCGGCGUGCCUAAUACAUGCAAGUCGAGCGAACAGACGAGGAGCUUGCUCCUCUGACGUUAGCGGCGGACGGGUGAGUAACACGUGGAUAACCUACCUAUAAGACUGGGAUAACUUCGGGAAACCGGAGCUAAUACCGGAUAAUAUAUUGAACCGCAUGGUUCAAUAGUGAAAGACGGUUUUGCUGUCACUUAUAGAUGGAUCCGCGCCGCAUUAGCUAGUUGGUAAGGUAACGGCUUACCAAGGCAACGAUGCGUAGCCGACCUGAGAGGGUGAUCGCCCACACUGGAACUGAGCCACGGUCCCGACUCCUACGGGAGGCAGCAGUAGGGAAUCUUCCGCAAUGGGCGAAAGCCUGACGGAGCAACGCCGCGUGAGUGAUGAAGGUCUUCGGAUCGUAAAACUCUGUUAUUAGGGAAGAACAAAUGUGUAAGUAACUAUGCACGUCUUGACGGUACCUAAUCAGAAAGCCACGGCUAACUACGUG
rnacentral:rRNA from 1 species